rnacentral:lncRNA from 1 species
CAGCAUCUCUUUCACCUCAGGCGUCUGGUAAGGAGGAAGGUCUUCUGCAGCUGUUGGCCACUGUGGAGAAAUGGAGAGGCAGUGAAAUCCCAGAAAAAGUGGGCACAGUCAAGCUGAAGCAUGCUGUGACUUUAGAGCCUAUGCGAGAACACUUAGUGUGGGGGCGCUUGCCUGGUCAUGUGUGCCUCUCUGCUGGAAGCACACUGGUAGUGGAACCAAGUCAGUCACGCACAGUGCCACGGACCGUCAUGGUAGGGCGACUGGUGACGCCACUCUGGGGCGAUGGUUGGGUCCCAGUGAGAAUUAUCAACCCCUCCAAUAAACCUGUGACUCUAAGACGGAACUGCAAGAUUGCUGAUGCGUCCCCCUGUGUGGCACUUGAGGACUUUGACAAUGACUAUUUGUACAGGACUGACGAGACUGACAGUGUUGAAUGUAAUGUAGCCAAGACUACUGACCUGACUGACACGGGUAGCGAGAAGAGCUUGACAGUUGACUCUGAGCGUUCUAUUCCAAGGCCUUGUAGGUCAGCCCUUCACGACUUGGGUCUGCAGGACAUUGACAUUGACUCAGCUGAUUUGUCUCCAUUCUGGAAAGCAAAGCUGGUUGAUCUACUGACAAAGUAUGAGUCCAUCUUCUCUCGCCACAGCAUGGACUGCGGUACAGCCAAAGGGUUUGUCCACCGCAUCCGCCUGAGUGACAGCAAACCCUUCAGGCUGCCGUAUCGUCGGCUGGCUCCAUCUCACUAUGACAAGCUCCGAACGGCUUUGAAUGAGAUGGAGGAGCGAAAGAUCAUAAGGAAAUCUGCGAGUGAGUAUGCAUCGCCGCUUGUCCUAGUUUGGAAAAAGAAUGGAGACUUGCGUCUCUGCACGGAUUUUCGCUGGCUGAAUGCGCGUACCGUCAGGGAUGCCCACCCUCUGCCUCACCAGGCCGACGCUUUGGCAGCUCUAGGGGGAAAUACAUUUUUCUCGACCAUGGACUUGACCUCGGGAUACUACAAUGUGGAAGUACACGAGGAGGAUAAGAAGUUUACUGCGUUCAACUCCCAAUUUGGGCUUUAUGAGUACAACAGACUCCCGCAGGGUCUGUGUAACAGCCCGGCAACAUUCAUGAGGAUGAUGAUGGCUAUCUUUGGUGACCAAAACUUCUUAAGCCUCCUCUGCUAUUUGGAUGACAUUUUGGUUUUUGCUCCUAACGAACAGC